GAUGAACGCUGGCGGCGUGCCUAAUACAUGCAAGUCGAGCGAACAGAUAAGGAGCUUGCUCCUUUGAAGUUAGCGGCGGACGGGUGAGUAACACGUGGGUAACCUACCUAUAAGACUGGGAUAACUUCGGGAAACCGGAGCUAAUACCGGAUAACAUUUAGAACCGCAUGGCUCUAAAGUGAAAGAUGGUUUUGCUAUCACUUAUAGAUGGACCCGCGCCGUAUUAGCUAGUUGGUAAGGUAACGGCUUACCAAGGCGACGAUACGUAGCCGACCUGAGAGGGUGAUCGGCCACACUGGAACUGAGACACGGUCCAGACUCCUACGGGAGGCAGCAGUAGGGAAUCUUCCGCAAUGGGCGAAAGCCUGACGGAGCAACGCCGCGUGAGUGAUGAAGGGUUUCGGCUCGUAAAACUCUGUUAUUAGGGAAGAACAGAUGUGUAAGUAACUGUGCACAUCUUGACGGUACCUAAUCAGAAAGCCACGGCUAACUACGUGCCAGCAGCCGCGGUAAUACGUAGGUGGCAAGCGUUAUCCGGAAUUAUUGGGCGUAAAGCGCGCGUAGGCGGUUUCUUAAGUCUGAUGUGAAAGCCCACGGCUCAACCGUGGAGGGUCAUUGGAAACUGGGAAACUUGAGUGCAGAAGAGGAAAGUGGAAUUCCAUGUGUAGCGGUGAAAUGCGCAGAGAUAUGGAGGAACACCAGUGGCGAAGGCGACUUUCUGGUCUGUAACUGACGCUGAUGUGCGAAAGCGUGGGGAUCAAACAGGAUUAGAUACCCUGGUAGUCCACGCCGUAAACGAUGAGUGCUAAGUGUUAGGGGGUUUCCGCCCCUUAGUGCUGCAGCUAACGCAUUAAGCACUCCGCCUGGGGAGUACGACCGCAAGGUUGAAACUCAAAGGAAUUGACGGGGACCCGCACAAGCGGUGGAGCAUGUGGUUUAAUUCGAAGCAACGCGAAGAACCUUACCAAAUCUUGACAUCCUUUGAAAACUCUAGAGAUAGAGCCUUCCCCUUCGGGGGACAAAGUGACAGGUGGUGCAUGGUUGUCGUCAGCUCGUGUCGUGAGAUGUUGGGUUAAGUCCCGCAACGAGCGCAACCCUUAAGCUUAGUUGCCAUCAUUAAGUUGGGCACUCUAGGUUGACUGCCGGUGACAAACCGGAGGAAGGUGGGGAUGACGUCAAAUCAUCAUGCCCCUUAUGAUUUGGGCUACACACGUGCUACAAUGGACAAUACAAAGGGCAGCUAAACCGCGAGGUCAUGCAAAUCCCAUAAAGUUGUUCUCAGUUCGGAUUGUAGUCUGCAACUCGACUACAUGAAGCUGGAAUCGCUAGUAAUCGUAGGUCAGCAUGCUACGGUGAAUACGUUCCCGGGUCU
rnacentral:rRNA from 1 species